UUAAGGGGUGCUUCUUUGGCUGAGAUUAUACCCUAGAACCUGAACUAGAUAAUGCUAGCGGAGGAAACUA
rnacentral:ncRNA from 1 species